rnacentral:rRNA from 1 species
CCUACGGGUGGCAGCAGUAGGGAAUCUUCCACAAUGGACGAAAGUCUGAUGGAGCAACGCCGCGUGAGUGAAGAAGGGUUUCGGCUCGUAAAGCUCUGUUGGUAGUGAAGAAAGAUAGAGGUAGUAACUGGCCUUUAUUUGACGGUAAUUACUUAGAAAGUCACGGCUAACUACGUGCCAGCAGCCGCGGUAAUACGUAGGUGGCAAGCGUUUUCCGGAUUUAUUGGGCGUAAAGCGAGUGCAGGCGGUUCAAUAAGUCUGAUGUGAAAGCCUUCGGCUCAACCGGAGAAUUGCAUCAGAAACUGUUGAACUGGAGUGCAGAAGAGGAGAGUGGAACUCCAUGUGUAGCGGUGGAAUCCGUAGAUAUCUGGAGGAACAUCAGUGGCGAAGGCGACUAUCUGGCACAUAACUGACGCUGAGGAGCGAAAGCGUGGGUAGCAAACAGGAUUAGAUACCCUAGUAGUC